rnacentral:rRNA from 1 species
GACGUAGGGCGCGAGCGUUGUCCGGAUUUAUUGGGCGUAAAGAGCUCGUAGGCGGCUUGUCGUGUCGUCUGUGAAAUCCCGCGGCUCAACCGCGGGUCUGCAGUCGAUACGGGCAGGCUAGAGUUCGGUAGGGGAGACUGGAAUUCCUGGUGUAGCGGUGAAAUGCGCAGAUAUCUGGAGGAACACCGGUGGCGAAGGCGGCAUCCUGGACCGACACUGACACUGAGGAGCGAAAGCCAGGGGAGCAAACGGG